AUACGGAGGGGGCUAGCGUUAUUCGGAAUUACUGGGCGUAAAGAGUUCGUAGGCGGACUGGAAAGUUAGAGGUGAAAGCCCAGGGCUCAACCCUGGAACGGCCUUUAAAACUUCCAGUCUAGAGACAGAUAGAGGUAAGGGGAAUACUUAGUGUAGAGGUGAAAUUCGUAGAUAUUAAGUGGAACACCAGUGGCGAAGGCGCCUUACUGGAUCUGUACUGACGCUGAGGAACGAAAGCGUGGGGAGCGAACGGGAUUAGAUACCCUAGUAGUCC
rnacentral:rRNA from 1 species